CCUGGGUCAUGGCUAUCUUAAUAAAGUGGAUUCAAAAUUAAACCAAACCAAGAACCAUCUAGUUCAUUCAGAAUCAUUUACUACUUGAAAGGAGGAAAAAUCUUCUACAAUGAAAAGGGAUUGCAGGUAUUCCUUAAUAAAAUGACCAUACUUCAUGUCAUGAAUAGUGAAAGAAUUGGACAUCGUGGGUCUCCUGGAAGAAUUGAAUAUGAAGAAUACAACCUCACCUAUGGACUAUUAUCAUCCAGAGUGCUGCAAAGCUCUUGCAAAGCAAAAAGGCCCAUGGAAGAUGGGACAUGCUUAUGUGAACAAGACCUCAUGUCAACUCCAUUCCUCCCCCAGAUGGGACCUUCUGGUUGCAAAAAAACAAGCUCAGGGCCCUCACUGAUUCUACAUUCUGUUGCUGUCUCAUGGACCGAGAGUUUUCGCUGUGUCUCAGAGACAAUUUCAGCCCUCUCUUAGUUCGGAGGACAAGAGCCGAAGGCCUGACUUUCUCUUAAUUGGGAAACCAGUCGUCUAUAGGCCAAGAAAGUAAAUCCAUCCACUUGACCCAAAGCUUUUUGGAUGCUGAAAGCCUUUUCCAUUUUAAGUUAUGGUAUUGUGACCAAGGACAGAAGUCUUUCACAGAGGACUAGUAGGAGAAAUAGUGCCCAGUCCAAUGCCUGGCACACAGGAAAUGCAUGCUGGAUGAACAUGUCUUGAGCAGCAAAACUGGAGACCUUGCUGAAUAUAUCAGGGGUUGCUGUAUAAUUUACUGUGUUCUGUCUGUCCAGUGAAUUCCACAUUAUAGUCAGUUCAUUCAUUCUACAAGUAUAGUAGUUUAGUUGCUACUGUUUCUAGACUAUGCCAGUGAGCCUCUGUGGUCAGCUUUUACCCUAUGUUCAUGUAGCUCCAUGGCCCUGGGCUGCACCUUUGGGGAGAUGUGCUUCCUCUUUAGUGUAAGAAAUGCCGUAAUCUAUUAUUUCUCAUCUAUCCUUAUUUUGUAACAACUCCAGUAGUUAGUAUAAAUGGAGAAUAUGAGAUUCUACUACGAACUACAGAAUCAAAGAUUGGAAAAACCUACAUUUUCAAGAAAGAGGAGAGUCGAAUAAAGCUUGGUACAUUAGGAGGAUACCAUGCUUUGUUUCCAUAUAAAAGUGUGCUUCUGUAAGUAUUGACAUGUGUAUACAUAAAAUAUCUCUGCAGGGGGAUUAAACAAGAAAUCUGUAAAAUUGACCAUCUGUAAGUGGUAGGGGGUUGGGCACUGUAAACCGGUAGGAAGGAAGGCUUACUGUCAACCAU
rnacentral:lncRNA from 1 species